UCAGGACGAACGCUGGCGGCAUGCCUAAUACAUGCAAGUCGAACGCACGAAGUUGAAAAGCUUGCUUUUCGACCAAGUGAGUGGCGGACGGGUGAGUAACACGUGGGUAACCUGCCCAUAAGAGGGGGAUAACAUUCGGAAACGGAUGCUAAUACCGCAUAUUUCAAGUGACCGCAUGGUCGCUUGAUGAAAGGUGGCUUCGGCUACCACUUAUGGAUGGACCCGCGGUGCAUUAGUUAGUUGGUGAGGUAAUGGCUCACCAAGACCAUGAUGCAUAGCCGACCUGAGAGGGUGAUCGGCCACACUGGGACUGAGACACGGCCCAGACUCCUACGGGAGGCAGCAGUAGGGAAUCUUCCGCAAUGGACGAAAGUCUGACGGAGCAAUGCCGCGUGAGUGAAGAAGGUUUUCGGAUCGUAAAACUCUGUUGUUAGAGAAGAACAAGGAUGAGAGUAACUGCUCAUCCCCUGACGGUAUCUAACCAGAAAGCCACGGCUAACUACGUGCCAGCAGCCGCGGUAAUACGUAGGUGGCAAGCGUUGUCCGGAUUUAUUGGGCGUAAAGCGAGCGCAGGCGGUUCUUUAAGUCUGAUGUGAAAGCCCCCGGCUCAACCGGGGAGGGUCAUUGGAAACUGGAGAACUUGAGUGCAGAAGAGGAGAGUGGAAUUCCAUGUGUAGCGGUGAAAUGCGUAGAUAUAUGGAGGAACACCAGUGGCGAAGGCGACUCUCUGGUC
rnacentral:rRNA from 1 species